UUUUUUAUAUAAGAAGAGAAACAUGAGGCGAUGUUUCGAAAUGGGCGCGAGCUAGAAAACGAGGUUGGGAAAGGCUUAUCUAAAGAUGAAAAGACUCAAAAAUUAGCUCUUUAGCAUUGGCUUGAAGUUAUUGACCCACAUCAUCGUUAUGGCCACAACUUGCACUUCUAUUAUGAUGUCUGGUCAGCGAGCAAGAGCUCACAUCCAUUCUUUUACCGCCAUGGUGAAUUAUAUAGUGAAGCAAUACAAUGUUGCAAUGGAAGGAGAUACGACAUUGGUCGCAGUGGAGAGCAUUGGUAUACGGAAUAGAAAAUGAGUCAAGAUCAUUAGUGAUUCAAAAUUGGUCAAUUAAAUUCCGAUAUAUAAUGGUUGGUCCAUCAUGUAUAUUUUAUUUUAAAAUUAAUAUUAAAAUUAUUUGAUAA